rnacentral:lncRNA from 1 species
CACUCUAAAUGCAUCUAUAUACAUUCGUAUGUGGUCCAUAGUUGAAUCUCUACAAAGGCUUAUAUUUAGGAACGGAGGGAGUAGUUGGCAUUCAGGACAUAGCUCCUCUAUCCGAAUAAUAACAGUAAAUGAAACAUUCGUCCUGAUAUUCUGAGUGAGCCAAGCCUCGGAGUCAUGAAGUGACCAUUUAAAAAGUUAGUAGGCCAAUCUUCCUUUUCUGUUUGUUCUUUACUGAUAAAGCUAAAAAGUGGUAAAAUAUCUCCACUUGUGUCCUGAAAGUCCUGAGUUCAAAUCAGCCUCUUUGCAGGGAAAAAAAAAGCAAGGGAAAGGCGUCUAGAAAUCCCCUUCCCUGGAACCACAAUGUGUGGGAGCUUUCGGCAGUGGGCACACCCUUACCGAUGCUUAGAAGCGAUGAUGUGUCAUCCGUCAGAAGUGGUAAGCACAUGUUUACAGAGCUCACAUUACAUGUGGUGUGAUCGUUCAGGCGUUUGACACUAACUCGUUUUGGUGUGAUCGUCCAGGUGUUCCUCUCAAUUUGCUCCCAGUUGACGAACCCAUACCCCAAGGAUGUUUUCAAGUCCUAGCACCAAGAUGGGGUCUGAUGGAAAUGGACCGCCAACGGUUGCUACUCCGCGUCGAGCCCCCACUUCAUUCAGUUUGUUGGCAGAACUAAGCCCUGUCUUCCUUGAGCUGAUCUGGCAUGUCACAACAAAUGUGCAUGAUUUAAGCUUUCGAGUCAAAACUUAUGCAAUUUCCAUGCAAGCGGCCCAAGAGUUACUUACUGCCAAGACUCCGCAAGUUUGCUCCAUUCACAGCUUGUUUCUCACGAAUUAAUCCUCUGUUUUUCAGUUUUCCCAAGCCUAUGUGCCUCUAGUAUAAGUAUCCCCACAUCUUCGUUGUGAAAGUGAAUGAGAAUUCUGAAUUUGAGUUUGUAGGCAGUCGGUGGGAUUGUGUGUUUGGGUGCUCUGCUGCAAGCAAGAGAUUCCGUCGAGUGUUAGCCGUUGUGUGGAUCGAAGGGGCUUGUCCUUGAUCCAUAUAGGAUUCAUUUUGGUUACAUUUUGUGAUUCUAACAAAAUUCCACAAGUACCAUGGGUUGGGUUGCCUUGUUGCACACCAAGCUAGUUAUCUGCAGGCUGCAGCAGUAAAUCUGAGAGUGGUUCAUGCUGCUAUGUGCUACUUGAGAGAAAUUAGUUGUUGCUGCCUCUUGAAAGCUCGGUCGCAAUGGUGCCCGACAUCAGGGCUAAACUCUUAGCCGUCUUCGGAUGCACCGCCGAUGUAGAAGGCCUGACAUAUGCGAUGUUGGUUUGUGGAUGGGGGCCGUCGGAGAGGAAGGCUGGAUGGCGCGGCGGGAAGACAGUGGUGAUCGUGCCCUAUGCCCAUGACAUGGCGGUCGCGGUGCUGUGGCGUCCAUUCCCAUUUUUUCAUCUUCUCUACUUUGCUUGGCACUGCGUUUUGUUUCACUUUGAGAAGGGGGACACCAACAAGAAGCAAUUCUCACAGGAACAUCACUCAACUCAACUCUCAUUACUUCCAUCAUAUCCGUAGCACAAUUAACAGUUUAUAACAGGCACACACACACACACACACACACACAUACACACACUUUGCCACGACUCGCAACUGAACUAGACUUUGUGAGUCCAUUUGCCAUUUCCCCUGAAACCAAACCCCGUACGCACGCACCGGCACUAUCACCAUCACGACCUCCUGAAAUCAACCACGAUGUAUAUAUUGAUG